AGAGGGAAAAGGAGCAAUCCGCUUUGAGAUGGCCUCGCGUCCGAUUAGCUAGUUGGUGAGGUAAUGGCCCACCAAGGCAACGAUCGGUAGCCGGACUGAGAGGUUGAACGGCCACAUUGGGACUGAGACACGGCCCAGACUCCUACGGGAGGCAGCAGUGGGGAAUAUUGCACAAUGGGGGAAACCCUGAUGCAGCGACGCCGCGUGGAGGAAGAAGGUCUUCGGAUUGUAAACUCCUGUUGUUGAGGAAGAUAAUGACGGUACUCAACAAGGAAGUGACGGCUAACUACGUGCCAGCAGCCGCGGUAAAACGUAGGUCACAAGCGUUGUCCGGAAUUACUGGGUGUAAAGGGAGCGCAGGCGGGAAGACAAGUUGGAAGUGAAAUCCAUGGGCUCAACCCAUGAACUGCUUUCAAAACUGUUUUUCUUGAGUAGUGCAGAGGUAGGCGGAAUUCCCGGUGUAGCGGUGGAAUGCGUAGAUAUCGGGAGGAACACCAGUGGCGAAGGCGGCCUACUGGGCACCAACUGACGCUGAGGCUCGAAAGUGUGGGUAGCAAACAGGAUUAGAUACCCUGGUAGUCCACACCGUAAACGAUGAUUACUAGGUGUUGGAGGAUUGACCCCUUCAGUG
rnacentral:rRNA from 1 species